rnacentral:tRNA from 1 species
AAUUUGGCCGAGUGGUUAAGGCGAGAGACUAGAAAUCUCUUGGGGAGACCCGCGCAGGUUCGAAUCCUGCAGUUG